AGCGAACGCUGGCGGCAGGCCUAAUACAUGCAAGUCGAGCGGCCGUAGCAAUACGGCAGCGGCAGACGGGAGAGUAACACGUGGGAACGCGCCCUUCGGUUCGGGAUAACUCAGGGAAACUUGGGCUAAUACCGGAUACGCCCUUACGGGGAAAGAUUUAUUGCCGAAGGAACGGCCCGCGUCCGAUUAGCUUGUUGGUGAGGUAACGGCUCACCAAGGCGACGAUCGGUAGCUGGUCUGAGAGGAUGACCAGCCUCACUGGGACUGAGACACGGCCCAGACUCCUACGGGAGGCAGCAGUGGGGAAUAUUGGACAAUGGGCGCAAGCCUGAUCCAGCCAUGCCGCGUGGGUGAUGAAGGCCCUAGGGUUGUAAAGCCCUUUCAGCGGGGAAGAUAAUGACGGUACCCGCAGAAGAAGCCCCGGCUAACUUCGUGCCAGCCGCCGCCGUAAGAC
rnacentral:rRNA from 1 species